GUGUCAGCAGCCGCGGUAACACGGGGGGAGCAAGCGUUGUUCGGAAUCACUGGGCGUAAAGGGCGUGUAGGCGGCUCAGUAAGUGGGAUGUGAAAUGCCCCGGCUCACCCGGGGACCUGCAUCCCAAACUGCUGGGCUUGAGUAUGGGAGAGGAUGAGGGAAUUCCUGGUGUAGCGGUGAAAUGCGUAGAUAUCAGGAGGAACACCGGUGGCGAAAGCGCUCAUCUGGCCCAAUACUGACGCUGAGGCGCGAAAGCUAGGGGAGCAAACGGGAUUAGAUACCCCUGUAGUCC
rnacentral:rRNA from 1 species